rnacentral:rRNA from 1 species
AGUGAACGCUGGCGGUAGGCCUAACACAUGCAAGUCGAACGGCAGCACAGUAAGAGCUUGCUCUUACGGGUGGCGAGUGGCGGACGGGUGAGGAAUACAUCGGAAUCUACUUUUUCGUGGGGGAUAACGUAGGGAAACUUACGCUAAUACCGCAUACGACCUACGGGUGAAAGCAGGGGAUCUUCGGACCUUGCGCGAUUGAAUGAGCCGAUGUUGGAUUAGCUAGUUGGCGGGGUAAAGGCCCACCAGGGCGAGGAUCCGUAGCUGGUCUGAGUGGAUGAUCAGCCACACUGGAAGUUAGACACGGUCCAGACUCCUACGGGAGGCAGCAGUGUGGAAUAUUGGACAAUGGGCGCAAGCCUGAUCCAGCCAUACCGCGUGGGUGAAGAAGGCCUUCGGGUUGUAAAGCCCUUUUGUUGGGAAAGAAAAGCAGCAGGUUAAUACCCCGCUGUUCUGACGGUACCCAAAGAAUAAGCACCGGCUAACUUCGUG